rnacentral:rRNA from 1 species
UACAGAGGUCUCGAGCGUUAGGCGGAAUCACUGGGCUUAAAGCGUGUGUAGGCGGAUUGGUAAGUACCUUGUGAAAUCCCCCGGCUCAACUGGGGAACUGCACAGGAAACUAGCGGGCUUGAGUUCGGGAGAGGGAAGCGGAAUUCCGGGUGUAGCGGUGAAAUGCGUAGAUAUCCGGAGGAACACCGGUGGCGAAGGCGGCUUCCUGGACCGACACUGACGCUGAGGCGCGAAAGCUAGGGGAGCAAACGGG